rnacentral:rRNA from 1 species
GACGAACGCUGGCGGCGUGCCUAACACAUGCAAGUCGAGCGGAGUCGAUCGACGGAAGCCUUCGGGCGGAAGAUGGUUGACUUAGCGGCGGAUGGGUGAGUAACGCGUGGGCAACCUGCCUCGAAGACCGGGAUAACAGCCCGAAAGGGCUGCUAAUACCGGAUGUGGUCAAGGAUCCGCAUGGAUUUUUGAUUAAAGGGGAAACCCGUUUCGAGAUGGGCCCGCGUCCUAUCAGCUAGUUGGUGAGGUAAAAGCUCACCAAGGCGACGACGGGUAGCCGGCCUGAGAGGGUGACCGGCCACACUGGAACUGAGACACGGUCCAGACUCCUACGGGGGGCAGCAGUGGGGAAUCUUCCACAAUGGGCGAAAGCCUGAUGGAGCGACGCCGCGUGAGCGAAGAAGGCCUUCGGUUGUAAGCUCUGUCUGGAGGGACGAAGGAAGGUGACGGUACCUCCGGAGGAAGCCACGGCGUAACUACGUG